rnacentral:rRNA from 1 species
AGUCGAGCGGCAGCGGGAGGAAGCUUGCUUCCUUGCCGGCGAGCGGCGGACGGGUGAGUAAGGUAUGGGGAUCUGGCCGAAGGCGGGGGAUAACCACUGGAAACGGUGGCUAAUACCGCAUAAUCUCUAAGGAGCAAAGUGGGGGACCGUUCAGGCCUCACACCUUCGGAUGAACCCAUAUGAGAUUAGCUAGUAGGUGGGGUAAUGGCUCACCUAGGCGACGAUCUCUAGCUGGUCUGAGAGGAUGAUCAGCCACACUGGGACUGAGACACGGCCCAGACUCCUACGGGAGGCAGCAGUGGGGAAUAUUGCACAAUGGGCGCAAGCCUGAUGCAGCCAUGCCGCGUGUAUGAAGAAGGCCUUCGGGUUGUAAAGUACUUUCAGUCGUGAGGAAGGUGUUAAGGUUAAUAACCUUAGCAAUUGACGUUAGCGACAGAAGAAGCACCGGCUAACUCCGUGCCAGCAGCCGCGGUAAUACGGAGGGUGCGAGCGUUAAUCGGAAUUACUGGGCGUAAAGGGCACGCAGGCGGUUAAUUAAGUUGGAUGUGAAAUCCCCGGGCUUAACCUGGGAAUGGCAUUCAAGACUGGUUAACUAGAGUCUUGUAGAGGGGGGUAGAAUUCCAUGUGUAGCGGUGAAAUGCGUAGAGAUGUGGAGGAAUACCGGUGGCGAAGGCGGCCCCCUGGACAAAGACUGACGCUCAUGUGCGAAAGCGUGGGGAGCAAACAGGAUUAGAUACCCUGGUAGUCCACGCUGUAAACGAUGUCGAUUUGGAGGUUGUGGUCAUGAACUGUGGCCUCCGGAGCUAACGCGUUAAAUCGACCGCCUGGGGAGUACGGCCGCAAGGUUAAAACUCAAAUGAAUUGACGGGGCCCGCACAAGCGGUGGAGCAUGUGGUUUAAUUCGAUGCAACGCGAAGAACCUUACCUACUCUUGACAUCCAGCGAAUC